rnacentral:sRNA from 21 species
CUCAAUUGUGUAAUAACACACACGAAUCGGCACAUGCGCCGGGGUGCUCUUAUGCGUUUAGACGCAGCUUUAGAGUCGGUAGCAUGGGAUUCGUGGAGGCAUAAC